rnacentral:rRNA from 1 species
GAUGAACGCUGGCGGCGUGCCUAAUACAUGCAAGUCGAGCGGUCGGAGGAGAAGCUUGCCUCUCUGAUGUUAGCGGCGGAAGGGAUAGUAACACGUGGACACCCUCCCUAUAAGACUGGGAUCACUUCGUGAAACCGGAGCUAAUACCGGCUAAUAUUUUGAACCGCAUGGUUCAAAAGUGAAAGACGGUCUUGCUGUCACUUAUAGAUGGAUCCGCGCUGCAUUAGCUAGUUGGUAAGGUAACGGCUUACCAAGGCAACGAUGCAUAGCCGGCCUGAGAGGGUGAUCAGCCACACUGGAACUGAGACACGGUCCAGACUCCUACGGGAGGCAGCAGUGGGGAAUUUUGGACAAUGGGCGCAAGCCUGACGGAGCAACGCCGCGUGAGGGAUGAAGGUCUUCGGGUUGUAAACUGCUUUUAUAAGGAAAGAACAGACUUGUAAUAAAACGGGCACAUCAUGACGGUACCGUAUGAGAAAGCAACGGCUAACUACGUG